rnacentral:piRNA from 1 species
GAAACUUGUAUCCAUGAUUGUGGGCUGAGC